GAUGAACGCUGGCGGCGUGCUUAACACAUGCAAGUCGAGCGAAGCACUUAUGAUGAUCCUUCGGGUGAAUCAUUUGUGACUGAGCGGCGGACGGGUGAGUAACGCGUGAGUAACCUGCCUCAUACAGGGGAAUAACAGUUAGAAAUGACUGCUAAUGCCGCAUAAGCGCACAGGGCCGCAUGGCCCGGUGUGAAAAACUCCGGUGGUAUGAGAUGGACUCGCGUCUGAUUAGCUAGUUGGCAGGGUAACGGCCUACCAAGGCGACGAUCAGUAGCCGGCCUGAGAGGGUGAACGGCCACAUUGGGACUGAGACACGGCCCAAACUCCUACGGGAGGCAGCAGUGGGGAAUAUUGCACAAUGGGGGAAACCCUGAUGCAGCGACGCCGCGUGAGUGAAGAAGUAUUUCGGUAUGUAAAGCUCUAUCAGCAGGGAAGAAAAUGACGGUAC
rnacentral:rRNA from 1 species